ensembl:lincRNA
CCCCAAAGGCUCGGCUGCCUCCACUGACAACUUGGGCACAUUCAUGGGCUCUCUGUACUCUUCCCAUGUUCCUGCAGAUGAGUGCAGAUGACGCUAAGCCCACACGCGCUGUCCUCUCUCAGAGGCUAGUGGGAGGAACUCUGGGCAGUGCGGAGACAAAGGCUGAGAACACCUUGAAGAGAGAGCACAUGAGCACAAGCAGGGGAGCAACAAAGGCAGAGGGAGAAGCAGGCUCCCCGCUAAGCAGCCAGCCUCGAAUUCGGGACUCGAUCUCAAGCCACCCAGGUGUCCCAAGUUUGAUUUCUUUUCAUAACAAGAUCCAGCGAGGGCUCGCAUAGCUCAGAAAAGGCUGCAACACGGAUGGAGGUCAAGCCUGUGAGGAACGGCGGACCCUUAACAGAGUUGACUUGCAACCCGUCUGGUUGGAAGCUGAUCACAGCAAUCAAAUUGUCACUGCAAAUAAAGGCGUGAGUCUUAGCCUUUCUCCUUCUGGCCUUUCCAGCUAAGAUUCCAAGUCGGAAAAUCUCUUUUGUGACAACUGAUUUAGGAAAGAGCAAAAGCGUGUAAAAGGGACACCGUGAACUUUUAUAAAAUGUAUAUACUUCUUUUGAAUGUGUGUUAGAUGGUGCUCUGUGUGUUACAUGGUGUUACAGGGUUACAUGCUGGAUGGUUUUUUGGUUUUUUUGUGUGUGUUUCUUUUCUUUUAAAGAUUUUAUUUGUUUGUUAGAGAGAGAGAGGGAGAGAGAGCGAGCACAGGCAGGCAGAGAGGCAGGCAGAGGCAGAGGGAGAAGCAGGCUCCCUGCCGAGCAAGGAGCCGACAUGGGACUUGAUCCCAGGAUCAUGACCCGAGCCAAAGGCAGCUGCUCAACCAUUUUACCUAAAAAAUGAUCAUUCAUUUUUGUUUUGUUUUGUCUUGAUUUGGGUGUUUGGUUUGUUUUUUUUUUUAAAUUCAAUUAACCAGGCCACCUGGGUGGUUGAGUUGGUUAAGCAUCUGCCUUCUGCUCAGGUCAUGAUCCCCCUGUCCUGGGUUAGAGCCCUGCAUCAGGCUCCUUGGUCAGCGGGGCGUCUGCGUCUCCCUCUGCCUGCCACUCCCCUGCUUGUGCUCUCUCCAUUCUUCUCUGACCAAAAAACAAACAAACAGACCAAAAAAAAAAAAAAAACCUUGAAAAAAAAUUUUUUCUAAAUUCAAUUAGCCAACAUAUAGUACAUCAUUAGCUUUUGUUGCAAUGUUCAAUGAUUCUUAGUUGUGAGUAACAGCCAGUGCUCAUCACAUCACAUGCCCUUCUUAAUGCCCAUCGCCCCACCCACCUUCCUUUCCACAACCCUCAGUUUGUUUCUCAGAGUCAAGGGUCUCAUAUAGUUCGUCUCCCUCUCUAAUAUUUCUUGCAUUUCAGUUUUCCCUCCCUUAUGUUCCACAUAUGAGUGAAACCAUCUGAUAAUUCCCUUUCUCUAAUUGACUUGCACAAAAAUGAUCAUUCUUGAACUGAGGGAUAUUCUACAGGGUCUGUGCUCUUCAUAAUGCCCAUGAAACCCUGACAGACUGUUCCAGGUCAAAAGAAGGUAGGGAGACUUGACAUCAGAAUGCCAAUGAUGUGUAUUCCGAGUUUUUCUUUUGCUAGAAAAGACGGUCAGGGAACAAUUGGUGACAUAUGAGUAGGGUCUGGGUAUUAAACAGUAGUACUGCACCAAUCUUAGCUUCCUGACUAUGAUAAUCAUAGAUGAUUCUAUAAGAUAAUAUCCUUAUUUUGGAAUAUUUGGAUAAUUAUUUGGAUUAAUACUUAUCUUUGAAGUAUUUAGAGUUAAAGAUAGCAGCAUGUCUGUAAUUUACUCUCAUACAAUUCAGUAAAAAAGUAGAUACAGAAAGAGAGAGAAAAGUGAAGCUAAUGUAAUCAAAUGUUAAUAUUUGAGGGCUCUAUCAGGAAAGCCUUUGUUCCGUAAGUCGAAAAUUAAGCCAAAUAAAAAGUUUUUAAUAAUAAAAAAUAGCUUUUAAAACCUUAAAAAAUGUGUAAGAUGGUAUUGUUAACAUUACAUAAAUAUUGCAAGGCACCACUGUAAAUACUUAGAAUAGUUUUAAUUAUUAAUAAUACGUUUUGCUUUUCAUGAUACACACUAAAGUUCUAAGGGCAGAAAACAAAUUAGCAUAUAUAAUAAUUAAUGAUCUAACUGGGUGUGGUGCAUAAACAAUGAAUUUUGAAACACUGAAAAGAAAUAAAAUAAAAUGGAAAAAAUGAAAAAAAUAAUGAUCUAACUGGUCUUAUGCUAUGAACAUCAGCAAUUGGUUCAGUCAUCAGUAGCAGGAAUUGUCCCCCAAGAGAACUGAUGUACACAUCUGGACCUCACAUGGAUGAUAAAAACACAUGACAUAGAGGAGAAUUUAAAGGAAUAUCAUUUUAUCACUGUACAUUUGAAUAUCACUCUUUCUCCUCUACAUGUUUUUGCCUAUAUUAUUUCAUUUUAUACCUUGCCUUCAUGUACUAUCUUAGACUUGCAGUUUUUAAGUACACGUUUCACAGCUAGAUGAGAUUGUGUGUGUGUGUGUGUGUGUGUGUGUAUAAAAGGCUGGUUAAAAAUAACUACAGAUGAGAUUUAAAUUAUAUACAUAUACUCGAAGCUGGUUAAAAAUAACUACAAUCUGAGAAAGACCUCUUACUGACUGCAGCUAGCAAUAGGCAAAUUGUGUUAUUCUAAAAGCGCCCAGAAAUAUACCUUAGUCUUCAUCCAUCACAAUCCUCAGAUCUGACACCUGUCUUGGGCAAUCUGUCUGUGAUAAAUCAAAAUAUCUUUUAGCCAUGACAAGAACAAUGCCAUCAGCCCAAGUGGAAUCUUGUAUUUGUAAGUAUGUUAGUCCUAACCUAUUACGAUGAAGCUAAUUAGAAUUUUGUAUCACAAGACUCUCUCCACGUAAAUGACACCCUGAGAUGAAGACAUUGGGCAUUUAAACAUUGUCUUCCUUGCAUUUACUAGCACCAUUCCUUGGUGACCAGAUUCUAAGAAACAGAUGGAAAAAAAAAAAGAGGUUUUUUUUAGGUUGAUGGAAAAGGGAAAAAAAAAUAACAAUGGAUUUUAACUUUCAGUAUCUGGAAGGGCAAGUGGGUCAAAUGUAAGGAUUUCUGAGACAAAUUUGUCAAUUAUUACAUGUUCAAUUCUACUGUACUUUAUCUUUAAAAUCUGAGGAAAAUAAAUGCAGUAAUUUUUAACGAUGGAUGUAAUUCAGACUCUGUGUGAUGUCACUUGUCUGCCUAAUACCUCCCUUUGCCCUCAAGUUCAUUCCCUCUGCCCCCUGCUGUGGCCACAACCCCUUCAAAGACUUCUGCACUGGUGACUUCCUUUUCCAGGGAGGGUUCAUUCC